rnacentral:lncRNA from 1 species
AGCAAAAAAGUGAAAAUUUUGUAAAAGAGUGCAAAUAAAUGAAUAAAAGUCUUUUUCCACACCAAAAAAGCUCUUGUUGCUUUCCAUGACAAGCAUGCUGAUCCUUGUGUGCUGUCGGUGUUAUUUGCCCAUCACAAACGCUUCAUCGUUAUUGCAGAAACCGCAGAUUUUUCCCCUGGAUUCGAAGGCCGGAUUUUCUACCAGCAAUCGAUUGGAAGAACUAUUUUCGGGUAAUCAAUGCAAAGCCAGAUCAGAUCCGCACCGUGGAAAAUGGCAAUGAAAGAUACCUUUGGAUUUGCCUUUCCAUUCGGACUAAUCGAAAACUUCACUCAAAGAUUUUGUAAGAAUCUGUACUCCAUUUGAGAAGUGAAAGGAAAGCAAUGGCACGACAUGACCAGACCCUUGGCAAUCCGGAAACAAACGAGUGUAAAACCUCCAUCAGGAAAAAUAGUGUCCGCAAUAACACCAUGAACGCUAGUGUGUAAUUGGAAUCGAUGGCAAUAUGAAUACAAUUAUUAUAUUUUUACCUUA